rnacentral:rRNA from 1 species
GAUGAACGCUAGCGGCAGGCCUAACACAUGCAAGUCGAGGGGCAUCAUGGCGUAGCAAUACGCUGAUGGCGACCGGCGCACGGGUGCGUAACGCGUAUGGAACCUACCCACCGCAGGGGGAUAACCCGCCGAAAGGCGGACUAAUACCCCAUGGUUCCCCGACCCUGCCUGGGGUUGGGGGUAAAGCCUACGGGCGGCGGUGGAUGGCCCUGCGUGCCAUUAGCUGGCUGGUGGGGUAACGGCCCACCAGGGCGACGAUGGCUAGGGGGUCUGAGAGGACGAUCCCCCACACUGGUACUGAGACACGGACCAGACUCCUACGGGAGGCAGCAGUCGAGAAUAGUCUACAAUGGCCGAAAGGCUGAUAGUGCGACGCCGCGUGAACGAAGAAGCCCUUCGGGGUGUAAAGUUCUUUUAUAUGUGAGCAGUGCUUUCUAUGUGAACAGCAUGGGGAGAGAGAUAUUAGCAUAUGAAUAAGCAACGGCUAACUCCGUG